rnacentral:rRNA from 1 species
UGAGGAAUAUUGGGCAAUGCCCGCAAGGGUGACCCAGCAACGCCGCGUGGAGGAUGAAUGUCGUAAGAUUGUAAACUCCUGUUAGAGGGGAAGAAUAGUACCGGUUGGACCGGUAUAUGACUGUACCCUCAGAGAAAGCCCAGGCUAACUACGUGCCAGCAGCCGCGGUAAUACGUAGGGGGCAAGCGUUGUCCGGAUUUACUGGGUGUAAAGGGCGCGCAGGCGGGAUAAAAAGUCAGUGGUGAAAUCCUACAGCUUAACUGUAGAACUGCCUUUGAUACUUUUAUUCUUGAGUUCGGGAGAGAGAGACGGAAUUCCAGGUGUAGUGGUGAAAUACGUAGAUAUCUGGAAGAACACCAGUUGCGAAGGCGGUCUCUUGGUCCGACACUGACGCUGAGGCGCGAAAGCGUGGGGAGCAAACA